AUUGAACGCUGGCGGCAUGCUUUACACAUGCAAGUCGAACGGUAACAGGGUGCUUGCACCGCUGACGAGUGGCGAACGGGUGAGUAAUACAUCGGAAUGUACCCAGUAAUGGGGGAUAACGCUUCGAAAGGAGUGCUAAUACCACAUACGCCCUGAGGGGGAAAGUGGGGGACCGCAAGGCCUCACGUUAUUGGAGCAGCCGAUGGCUGAUUAGCUAGUUGGUGAGGUAAAGGCUCACCAAGGCGACGAUCAGUAGCGGGUCUUAGAGGACGAUCCGCCACACUGGAACUGAGACACGGUCCAGACGCCUACGGGAGGCAGCAGUGGGGAAUCUUGGACAAUGGGCGAAAGCCUGAUCCAGCAAUGCCGCGUGCGUGUAGAAGGCCUUCGGGUUGUAAAGCGCUUUUGUCUGGGAGCAAAUCCUGGCCUCUAAUACAGGUCGGGGAUGAGAGUACCAGAAGAAUAAGGACCGGCUAACUACGUGCCAGCCGCCGCCGUAA
rnacentral:rRNA from 1 species